rnacentral:rRNA from 1 species
GUCCACGCCCUAAACGAUGUCAACUGGUUGUUGGGAGGGUUUCUUCUCAGUAACGUAGCUAACGCGUGAAGUUGACCGCCUGGGGAGUACGGCCGCAAGGUUGAAACUCAAAGGAAUUGACGGGACCCGCACAAGCGGUGGAUGAUGUGGUUUAAUUCGACGCAACGCGAAAACCUUACCUACCCUUGACAUGUCUGGAAUUUUGCAGAGAUGUGAAAGUGCUCGAAAGAGAGCCAGAACACAGGUGCUGCAUGGCCGUCGU